GAUGAACGCUGGCGGCGUGCCUAAUACAUGCAAGUCGAGCGAACGGACGAGAAGCUUGCUUCUCUGAUGUUAGCGGCGGACGGGUGAGUAACACGUGGAUAACCUACCUAUAAGACUGGGAUAACUUCGGGAAACCGGAGCUAAUACCGGAUAAUAUUUUGAACCGCAUGGUUCAAAAGUGAAAGACGGUCUUGCUGUCACUUAUAGAUGGAUCCGCGCUGCAUUAGCUAGUUGGUAAGUUAACGGCUUACCAAGGCAACGAGGCAUAGCCGACCUGAGAGGGUGAUCGGCCACACUGGAACUGAGACACGGUCCAGACUCCUAAGGGAGGCAGCAGUAGGGAAUCUUCCGCAAUGGGCGAAAGCCUGACGGAGCAACGCCGCGUGAGUGAUGAAGGUCUUCGGAUCGUAAAACUCUGUUAUUAGGGAAGAACAUAUGUGUAAGUAACUGUGCACAUCUUGACGGUACCUAAUCAGAAAGCCACGGCUAACUACGUG
rnacentral:rRNA from 1 species